UACGGGGGGGGCAAGCGUUGUUCGGAAUUACUGGGCGUAAAGGGCUCGUAGGCGGCCAACUAAGUCAGACGUGAAAUCCCUCGGCUUAACCGGGGAACUGCGUCUGAUACUGGAUGGCUUGAGAUUGGGAGAGGGAUGCGGAAUUCCAGGUGUAGCGGUGAAAUGCGUAGAUAUUCGGAGGAACACCAGUGGCGAAGGCGGCUCACUGGUCCAUUACUGACGCUGAGGUGCGAAAGCGUGGGGAGCAAACAGG
rnacentral:rRNA from 1 species